AAUAGAUACCCGGGUAGUCCACCCCGUAAACGUUGGGAACUAGUUGUGGGUCCAUUCCACGGAUUCCGUGACGCAGCUAACGCAUUAAGUUCCCCGCCUGGGGAGUACGGCCGCAAGGCUAAAACUCGAAGGAAUUGACGGGGACCCGCACAAGCGGCGGAGCAUGCGGAUUAAUUCGAUGCAACGCGAAGAACCUUACCAAGGCUUGACAUAUACGAGAACGCUGCAGAAAUGUAGAACUCUUUGGACACUCGUAAACAGGUGGUGCAUGGUUGUCGUCAGCUCGUGUCGUGAGAUGUUGGGUUAAGUCCCGCAACGAGCGCAACCCUCGUUCUAUGUUGCCAGCACGUAAUGGUGGGAACUCACGGGAUACUGCCGGGGUCAACUCGGAGGAAGGUGGGGAUGACGUCAAAUCAUCAUGCCCCUUAUGUCUUGGGCUUCACGCAUGCUACAAUGGCCGGUACAAAGGGCUGCAAUACCGUAAGGUGAGCGAAUCCCAAAAAGCCGGUCCAGUUCGGAUUGAGGUCUGCAACUCGACCUC
rnacentral:rRNA from 1 species